UGGCUUUGGCUCAGUGGCAGAGAGCAUCUGAUUUGCAUGCAGGAGUUCCCGGGUUCAAUCCCUGGCAUCUCAA
rnacentral:tRNA from 1 species